rnacentral:rRNA from 1 species
AGCGAACGCUGGCGGCAGGCUUAACACAUGCAAGUCGAACGGGCAUAGCAAUAUGUCAGUGGCAGACGGGUGAGUAACGCGUGGGAACGUACCUUUUGGUUCGGAACAACACAGGGAAACUUGUGCUAAUACCGGAUAAGCCCUUACGGGGAAAGAUUUAUCGCCGAAAGAUCGGCCCGCGUCUGAUUAGCUAGUUGGUAGGGUAAUGGCCUACCAAGGCGACGAUCAGUAGCUGGCUGAGAGGAUGAUCAGCCACAUUGGGACUGAGACACGGCCCAAACUCCUACGGGAGGCAGCAGUGGGGAAUAUUGGACAAUGGGCAAAGCCUGAUCCAGCCAUGCCGCGUGAGUGAUGAAGGCCCUAGGGUU